CCUUCUAGCUUGUUGUUGGCUCUAUGUAUAUCGCACCAACGGUUUAUAUUGUUGUGAACAGUUAAGGUUCGAGUUCGAUGAGGACCAAGAGGAAGUAAAGCAUGUUCUCAACAGUCUAUUCUCAGACUGUCUGCGCCAGUAUCGCAGCAGGCUAAAGAAGAAAUACUUCACUGGAAAGAUUACUGGGAGUGUUCCAACUAGAUCUCCUCUUAAGCAAAUGACUGACAAAUAGUGGGGAGAUCUUGUGAAGCACUGGUCUGAUCCAAAGAAUAUGAAUUUGGCUAAACAGAAUCAGAAAAACCGUGGUAAACUACUUUUACCUAGCCGUACGGGAUCUCGUAACCUUAUAGUGCACAUUCGGCAAAAAAUGUUACAUAAUGCAAGUAAAAGGGAACCAAAUAAAGAGAUGACUCUGACAGAGAUUUUUGAAGCAUGCCAGAAGAACAAACUUGAAGUGAUUGGAGAAGUCGCACAGAGUGUUCUUAUAGAUAUGAAAUUAGAGAUGGCAAAACCCGGUAAAAACGGUCUGGAAAAAACCGAUGAAGAAUGUGUGAAGGCAUUUUCCAUGGCAAUAAAAAAGAAAGGCAUUGCCAAAAACAC